AUGGUUCAGAGUAUGUUUAUUAGGUUGGUGCAAAAGUAAUUGCUGUUUUUGCCAUUAAAAGUAAGGGCAAAAACCAUUACUUUUUAGUAUGUAUUAACUCAUCAAUCCUUACAACAGCCCUAUUCAGUAGAUGUCCUCA
rnacentral:miRNA from 1 species